ACCAGCUAGACAUAGACAGACCUGGUGGUGGAAUAAUGAGGUUGACCAGUGUAUAAAAGAAAAGAGGAAACUUUGGAAGAGUGGAAGUCAGGUGGUAGUAAAAAUAUUUACUUAGAAGCUAAGCGUCGCGCUUGUACAGCAGUGUAUAAGGCAAAAUCAGAAGCAGAGAGAAACAGAUUUGCAGAUGUGUUAAGAAGGGAAGACCAGCGCAAUGAGGUAUUCAAGAUAGCAAAGCAAAUGAAGAAGACUAAUCAAGAUGUUGUAGGUGAGAAGUGUAUACUUAAUGAUGAAGGUGGCCAGCUAUUCAGAUCAAGACAGAAUGGGUAGUGGAGGCUAUUAGGAAAUUGAAGAUUGGCAAGGCUGCAGGAGUAUCAGGUAUUGUUGCAGAGAUGGUAAAAGCAUCUGGAUAUAUUGGAGUUGAGCUUAUUACAAGUCUUGCUAACCAGAUUAUAAAGGAUGGUGCUAUUCUGAGU